rnacentral:tRNA from 1 species
CCUGAUAGCUCAGUUGGUAAAGAGUCUGCCUGCAAUGCAGGAGACCCUGGUUCAAUUCCUGGGUCAGGA